rnacentral:rRNA from 1 species
GAUGAACGCUAGCUACAGGCUUAACACAUGCAAGUCGAGGGGCAGCAUGAACAAAGCUUGCUUUGUUUGAUGGCGACCGGCGCACGGGUGCGUAACACGUAUCCAAUCUGCCCGCGGCUCGGGGAUAGCCCAUCGAAAGAUGGAUUAAUACCCGAUGGCGUGGUCAUUCCGCAUGGAGUUUCCACUAAAGGUUUUCCGGCCGCGGAUGAGGAUGCGUAUGAUUAGGUAGUAGGCGGGGUAACGGCCCACCUAGCCUUCGAUCAUUAGGGGUUCUGAGAGGAAGGUCCCCCACACUGGAACUGAGACACGGUCCAGACUCCUACGGGAGGCAGCAGUGAGGAAUAUUGGUCAAUGGGCGAGAGCCUGAACCAGCCAAGUAGCGUGAAGGAAGACUGCCCUAUGGGUUGUAAACUUCUUUUGUUCGGGAAUAAAGUGCAGUAUGUAUACUGUUUUGUAUGUACCGUUCGAAUAAGCAUCGGCUAAUUCCGUGCCAGCA